UACAGAGGGGGCAAGCGUUGUUCGGAAUUACUGGGCGUAAAGGGCGCGUAGGCGGCCUGCUAAGUCGAACGUGAAAUCCCUGGGCUCAACCCAGGAACUGCGUCCGAUACUGGUCGGGCUUGAAUCCGGGAGAGGGAUGUGGAAUUCCAGGUGUAGCGGUGAAAUGCGUAGAUAUCUGGAGGAACACCGGUGGCGAAGGCGGCAUCCUGGGCUAACACUGACGCUCAUGCACGAAAGCGUGGGGAGCAAACAGG
rnacentral:rRNA from 1 species